UCAAUCUCGUGCGGCUAAAAGCCGCCUGUCCCUCUAAGAAGAUUUAGGCUCGCCGGUAGAUAGGGGAUACCGGAUACGCCUAUUUAGUAGGCUAGAGUCUCGUUCGUUAU
rnacentral:rRNA from 1 species